CCAGACUCCUACGGGAGGCAGCAGUGGGGGAUAUUGCACAAUGGGGGAAACCCUGAUGCAGCGACGCCGCGUGGGUGAAGAAGUAUUUCGGUAUGUAAAGCCCUAUCAGCAGGGAAGAAAGAAGACGGUACCUGACUAAGAAGCCCCGGCUAACUACGUGCCAGCAGCCGCGGUAAUACGUAGGGGGCGAGCGUUAUCCGGAUUCACUGGGUGUAAAGGGAGCGUAGACGGCCGUGCAAGCCAGGAGUGAAAGCCCGGGGCCCAACCCCGGGACUGCUCUUGGAACUGUGCGGCUAGAGUGCGGGAGGGGCAGGCGGAAUUCCUGGUGUAGCGGUGAAAUGCGUAGAUAUCAGGAGGAACACCGGCGGCGAAGGCGGCCUGCUGGACCGUGACUGACGUUGAGGCUCGAGAGCGUGGGGAGCAAACAGGAUUAGAUACCCCAGUA
rnacentral:rRNA from 1 species